rnacentral:rRNA from 1 species
UAAGCGACUAAGCGUACACGGUGGAUGCCCUGGCAGUCAGAGGCGAUGAAGGACGUGCUAAUCUGCGAUAAGCGUCGGUAAGGUGAUAUGAACCGUUAUAACCGGCGAUUUCCGAAUGGGGAAACCCAGUGUGUUUCGACACACUAUCAUUAACUGAAUCCAUAGGUUAAUGAGGCGAACCGGGGGAACUGAAACAUCUAAGUACCCCGAGGAAAAGAAAUCAACCGAGAUUCCCCCAGUAGCGGCGAGCGAACGGGGAGGAGCCCAGAGCCUGAAUCAGUGUGUGUGUUAGUGGAAGCGUCUGGAAAGGCGCGCGAUACAGGGUGACAGCCCCGUACACAAAAAUACACAUAUUGUGAGCUCGAUGAGUAGGGCGGGACACGUGGUAUCCUGUCUGAAUAUGGGGGACCAUCCUCCAAGGCUAAAUACUCCUGACUGACCGAUAGUGAACCAGUACCGUGAGGGAAAGGCGAAAAGAACCCCGGCGAGGGGAGUGAAAAAGAACCUGAAACCGUGUACGUACAAGCAGUGGGAGCACGCUUAGGCGUGUGACUGCGUACCUUUUGUAUAAUGGGUCAGCGACUUAUAUUCUGUAGCAAGGUUAACCGAAUAGGGGAGCCGAAGGGAAACCGAGUCUUAACUGGGCGUUAAGUUGCAGGGUAUAGACCCGAAACCCGGUGAUCUAGCCAUGGGCAGGUUGAAGGUUGGGUAACACUAACUGGAGGACCGAACCGACUAAUGUUGAAAAAUUAGCGGAUGACUUGUGGCUGGGGGUGAAAGGCCAAUCAAACCGGGAGAUAGCUGGUUCUCCCCGAAAGCUAUUUAGGUAGCGCCUCGUGAAUUCAUCUCCGGGGGUAGAGCACUGUUUCGGCAAGGGGGUCAUCCCGACUUACCAACCCGAUGCAAACUGCGAAUACCGGAGAAUGUUAUCACGGGAGACACACGGCGGGUGCUAACGUCCGUCGUGAAGAGGGAAACAACCCAGACCGCCAGCUAAGGUCCCAAAGUCAUGGUUAAGUGGGAAACGAUGUGGGAAGGCCCAGACAGCCAGGAUGUUGGCUUAGAAGCAGCCAUCAUUUAAAGAAAGCGUAAUAGCUCACUGGUCGAGUCGGCCUGCGCGGAAGAUGUAACGGGGCUAAACCAUGCACCGAAGCUGCGGCAGCGACGCUUAUGCGUUGUUGGGUAGGGGAGCGUUCUGUAAGCCUGCGAAGGUGUGCUGUGAGGCAUGCUGGAGGUAUCAGAAGUGCGAAUGCUGACAUAAGUAACGAUAAAGCGGGUGAAAAGCCCGCUCGCCGGAAGACCAAGGGUUCCUGUCCAACGUUAAUCGGGGCAGGGUGAGUCGACCCCUAAGACGAGGCCGAAAGGCGUAGUCGAUGGGAAACAGGUUAAUAUUCCUGUACUUGGUGUUACUGCGAAGGGGGGACGGAGAAGGCUAUGUUGGCCGGGCGACGGUUGUCCCGGUUUAAGCGUGUAGGCUGGUUUUCCAGGCAAAUCCGGAAAAUCAAGGCUGAGGCGUGAUGACGAGGCACUACGGUGCUGAAGCAACAAAUGCCCUGCUUCCAGGAAAAGCCUCUAAGCAUCAGGUAACAUCAAAUCGUACCCCAAACCGACACAGGUGGUCAGGUAGAGAAUACCAAGGCGCUUGAGAGAACUCGGGUGAAGGAACUAGGCAAAAUGGUGCCGUAACUUCGGGAGAAGGCACGCUGAUAUGUAGGUGAAGUCCCUUGCGGAUGGAGCUGAAAUCAGUCGAAGAUACCAGCUGGCUGCAACUGUUUAUUAAAAACACAGCACUGUGCAAACACGAAAGUGGACGUAUACGGUGUGACGCCUGCCCGGUGCCGGAAGGUUAAUUGAUGGGGUCAGCGCAAGCGAAGCUCUUGAUCGAAGCCCCGGUAAACGGCGGCCGUAACUAUAACGGUCCUAAGGUAGCGAAAUUCCUUGUCGGGUAAGUUCCGACCUGCACGAAUGGCGUAAUGAUGGCCAGGCUGUCUCCACCCGAGACUCAGUGAAAUUGAACUCGCUGUGAAGAUGCAGUGUACCCGCGGCAAGACGGAAAGACCCCGUGAACCUUUACUAUAGCUUGACACUGAACAUUGAGCCUUGAUGUGUAGGAUAGGUGGGAGGCUUUGAAGUGUGGACGCCAGUCUGCAUGGAGCCGGCCUUGAAAUACCACCCUUUAAUGUUUGAUGUUCUAACGUGGACCCGUGAUCCGGGUUGCGGACAGUGUCUGGUGGGUAGUUUGACUGGGGCGGUCUCCUCCUAAAGAGUAACGGAGGAGCACGAAGGUUGGCUAAUCCUGGUCGGACAUCAGGAGGUUAGUGCAAUGGCAUAAGCCAGCUUGACUGCGAGCGUGACGGCGCGAGCAGGUGCGAAAGCAGGUCAUAGUGAUCCGGUGGUUCUGAAUGGAAGGGCCAUCGCUCAACGGAUAAAAGGUACUCCGGGGAUAACAGGCUGAUACCGCCCAAGAGUUCAUAUCGACGGCGGUGUUUGGCACCUCGAUGUCGGCUCAUCACAUCCUGGGGCUGAAGUAGGUCCCAAGGGUAUGGCUGUUCGCCAUUUAAAGUGGUACGCGAGCUGGGUUUAGAACGUCGUGAGACAGUUCGGUCCCUAUCUGCCGUGGGCGCUGGAGAACUGAGGGGGGCUGCUCCUAGUACGAGAGGACCGGAGUGGACGCAUCACUGGUGUUCGGGUUGUCAUGCCAAUGGCACUGCCCGGUAGCUAAAUGCGGAAGAGAUAAGUGCUGAAAGCAUCUAAGCACGAAACUUGCCCCGAGAUGAGUUCUCCCUGACCCUUUAAGGGUCCUGAAGGAACGUUGAAGACGACGACGUUGAUAGGCCGGGUGUGUAAGCGCAGCGAUGCGUUGAGCUAACCGGUACUAAUGAACCGUGAGGCUUAACCU